AUUGAACGCUGGCGGCAUGCUUUACACAUGCCAGUCGAACGGUAACAGGCCUUCGGGUGCUGACGAGUGGCGCACGGGUGAGUAAUGCAUCGGAACGUACCCAGAGGUGGGGGAUAACGCAGCGAAAGCUGUGCUAAUACCGCAUGUGAUCUGAGGAUGAAAGCGGGGGACCGAGCAGCAAUGUUUGGCCUCGCGCCUUUGGAGCGGCCGAUGUCGGAUUAGCUAGUUGGUGGGGUAAAGGCCUACCAAGGCGACGAUCCGUAGCUGGUCUGAGAGGACGACCAGCCACACUGGGACUGGGACACGGCCCAGACUCCUACGGGAGGCAGCAGUGGGGAAUUUUGGACAAUGGGCGCAAGCCUGAUCCAGCAAUGCCGCGUGCGGGAAGAAGGCCUUCGGGUUGUAAACCGCUUUUGGCAGGAACGAAACGGUGUCCGCUAAUACCGGGCGCUAAUGACGGUACCUGCAGAAUAAGCACCGGCUAACUACGUG
rnacentral:rRNA from 1 species